UUAACAUUUCUAUAUAGAAAGAUAUGAAUCAAAAUCAAUCUAUAUAUUACGAAUAGUCUAGCCGAGUUAAAAUCUGGCAUUGACCCUUUCUUUAAAACCCGUCAUGCAAUUCAGUUCAACGAAUCACGUACAACUUGGCUAACAUGAAAGUUAGACAAGCGUUAAGAAAACUUGCCUUUCAGCGUCUUCAAAUAAUUUACUCAACCGACCACAGCCUUUACAGAAUCUAC
rnacentral:lncRNA from 1 species